rnacentral:lncRNA from 1 species
GGUUAUUUAUAAACUGACUACUAGGAUAUCAUUAAAACCAGAAGCUUUGAGGGGUAUUUAAAACUUGUAGAAGACAUAGCAAACGUUUAAGCUUUUAAGUGUCAAAAAAUAUCUAUAAACAAAUGCAUAUGUCUUGCUUCAGGUUAUAUUUUAACUUGUUUAAAUUGUAUUUCAGUUUUGAAACCUUUGAUGUGAACAGCUUUGAACAAUUUUGCAUCAAUUACGCUAAUGAAAAACUGCAACAACAGUUUAACAUGCAUGUCUUCAAACUGGAACAAGAAGAAUACAUGAAGGAAGAUAUACCUUGGACGCUGAUAGAUUUUUAUGACAAUCAACCAGUUAUUGACCUGAUUGAAGCAAAAAUGGGAAUUCUGGAGUUACUGGAUGAAGAAUGUUUGUUACCACAUGGAACUGAUGAAAACUGGCUUCAAAAGCUGUAUAAUAAUUUUGUCAACAGGAACCCUUUGUUUGAAAAGCCUAGAAUGUCAAACA